GUACACGCUGUGACUAGCAUAUCAAUAAGCGGAGGAAAAGAAACUAACAAGGAUUCCCCUAGUAACGGCGAGUGAAGCGGGAAGAGCUCAAAUUUGAAAUCUUAAAGGGUUUCCCUUUACGAAUUGUAGUUUAAAGAAGUGUUUUCUGUUGAGGUUUUGGUAAAAGUUCUUUGGAAUAGGACAUCAUAGAGGGUGAGAAUCCCGUAUUUGACCUUUACUUUCAACUUUGUGAUACACUUUCAAAGAGUCGGAUUGUUUGGGAAUGCAGUCCAAAAUGGGUGGUAAAUUUCAUCUAAAGCUAAAUAUUGGCGAGAGACCGAUAGCGAACAAGUACCGUGAGGGAAAGAUGAAAAGAACUUUGAAAAGAGAGUUAAACAGUACGUGAAAUUGUCAAAAGGGAAGCGUUUGACACCAGUGUUGUUUUUCUGAAAAUCAAUUAAAGAACUGUUUAUGCUAAGCUGUUUAGACUUUAUCAGCUAUCUGUUUAGUUUUGAGCUUUUCUUUAAUGCACUUUUCAGUUAACAAGUCAACAUCAAUUUCUUUUGCUGUAAAAAAGCUUGAGGAAGGUGGCUUGAGAUUCGUCUUAAGUGUUUAUAGCCUCUUGCCUAUGCAGUCGGAGAGAUUGAGGUCUGCAGCGUAGAUCCUUCGGGGCUAAAUGCAUUUGUGCUAAGUUAUAGCAUUUCAUAGACAACUUGUUGACUAUGAUUUGUCUUGUAGCUUACUCGCUUAUGUUAUUUUACCUACGCUUAGGAUGUUGACUGAUAUGUAGUCGU
rnacentral:rRNA from 1 species